rnacentral:misc_RNA from 1 species
CAUUGGUACGCUUAGGAAUUUGUCUAGAAUAGAGCUUGCAACUUGCAAAUUCAAUGGAUCGAUUCCAAUAUCUAUAGCCAAUCUCACUGAACUCGUCUAUUUAGACUUCUCAUCCAACAUGUUCAGUGGUCCAAUCCCAUCAUUUGGCAAGUCCAAGAAACUCGUGUAUAUAGACUUUUCUCACAACCAAUUGUCUGGUGAGAUUCCGUCCAAUCACUUUGAAGGCCUUUUCAAACUUCUCUAUAUCGACUUGAGGUUUAAUUCACUUAAUGGGAGCAUUCCCUCAUCUCUGUUCGCAAUCCCAUCGCUGCAGAAGGUUCAGCUUUCGUUCAACCAAUUUACAGGUCAAGUUCCUGAGUUCUCAACUGCGUCAUCUUCUUCAUUGGAUACCCUGGAUUUGAGUAGCAACAA